CAGGGGUAUGCGCCCCUGGAUAUAUGCCACUGGAUAGGCGCCGCUCCACAAUGAACCUGUUUCACGCCAACUUGGUCGCAGGUGUCACAAGUUGCGGCUGUCGGCCAUUCCAAUGCGGAAUGAAUUGGAGUUCGUGAAUGCCACGCCGAGCCACAGGCGGCACAGAAGAGUUGCUUCCGCUCGUGGUAACCCUGGUGGUAGGCGGAGUUGCAGACGUGGAUCCAAUCUGUGGAGACGUGCGUUCGUGAAUUCACUGGUGUUCCACAGAUUCUGCACUUCGACCAGAUCAAAACUAGAACAGCAGCAGUUCUAGGGAUCUGACUAAGCGUGCAACAAGCUACCACUGCCGUAAAACAAGCCCGCCAUUGAUUAUUACGCUCGUCGAAAGAAGUGCAGGUGGCGAACUUUGCAAGGCAGGAAUACUGCUUUGCCGGCGCUCGUGGUGACAUUCCUCGAGGUGCUGUUGUCGAAGUAGGGUGACGGCUCGGACGGGUCGGGAGCCCUCACGGACCUUCCGCCCCCGGAGCGCAGCCGGUUAUGUAACCAGACAUACAUGCCUCGCGAAAUUGCAUUUGACGGGCAGCCACGCACAAGGAGCGGCAGGAAGACAACGGUUAUUGCUCGCUGCAGGAGGAGCUAGUCUUGCUGAAGCCGCUGGCGAUUGCUCCGCUCCAGUGCUGCUUAGGAAGUCUGGCAGAAUCUGAAGCCGCGUCACAACACGUAGAAGAAAAGCUAACGGUACACUGUAAUCCUCUCGUGAGAGCAAGGUGGCGUGUCCCCGAUGCCAGUCACGCUCGUCCGCGCACUCUGCGGUUUGCAGGCCAAAACACUUGACAAGAAGAUUACAACUUCUUCCAAGCGAUGAUUGAAUGCUCUGUAGCUUGGUUGUGUUCCAAACUCUUCGGCUUCCUGGGCUAGUAAACAAAAAUUGUGCAAAUGAUCUUGGUUUAAGCCCUGCGGCUGCGCAUGUAUUUGACUUGAAUGUCCGAGCGGGUCGAUAUAUGAAUACCUGGAUACCACGCCCCAGCAAACAGAAAAAAACGAAGACAGAAAAGCAGAGGGGACGCGACGCAAACUCAUGGACCCAGUGAACUGGAUAGCGCGGAAGUGGACAGAGGCCAGGGGAGUCCACCACGGUGUUCGACUUUCUCAGCAACAGACACACAUACGUGGACACCGCAGGGGGGAGAAAAUGUGGCAGGUCCUAUACAGUCGAUCCACGAAUCGUGCACCACCUUCCCCCAGUCGGCUGCCGCCUCAUUUGGUGCAGAGGCGGCCUCGAAACGGCGUGACCGAAGGCCAUUAGUGACGCCACGGUCGCGUCUUUCUGGCGAGACGUGCGCGUAGAAAGGGAACUUCCUCGCCGCCUCAGUGCCGAAAGUCCGAAAAGCGAAUGAACGCAGCGCAUGCAGUGCAGUUUCCGCCCCGGUUAACCUCGCCUCCUGUUUCCUGGCUACGGCCGUGCGUGCAAAAUGAGUCGAAUAGCGAAGCGUGCGCUUAGAGACAGGGCCCGUGUAACCCUGUUGGCGUGCCGGAACAUAAGUUGAACCCUUUGUGGUCUUGAUGUGUCUAGACAAACGCAGUGAUACAUAUUGCUAAACGAGAAUGAGGCAUUCCGUGCCAGCCCCUGAUGUUAGGCAUUCAUUUUUAACGUUUCGAACGGAAAGAGAAUGGAAGUAACGAGGAACUCGCAUUAAUUAUUUGUUAGUAAUAAGAUUUAUUCGGGAGAAUAAACGACCUCGUAACAAACCAUUUUCUGCAUGGAGAGGCAAUAAUUAUGAGCACAUAUUCCUUUGCAUACACUAACUAUACUUUUCUUUGGUCACAAGGCAGAAAACAAACACAACAAACACGCCUCGAAUGUUUGUUACGACCGCAGUAUGCAAAACACUUCCUGUCAUGAUGCUUCGUCAUGUCUCCCAUGCGUCUCCUCAUGAAAGUGAACUAAAUUGUAUGACUGUUACACAUAUUCAUAUAACUAUUGUAGUUUAAAAUAUUUGUAGGUCCAACGCACUUAUUCGAAUCUAUGGGAAACAAAGCUUUAGUAAAA